rnacentral:lncRNA from 9 species
GGAAACAGAAACCUUGAAUAAGUUAUUGAAGUUCAGGCGGGAAAGCGGGAAAGCGGUGGAGCUGAGCUCCAGAUCCCAGAGGGACUAGAUGGUGUUCCAGAGGCCGCGAGAUAGCGAGCUCAAGGCUCCACAGGAACAGUUGAGAAAGAGGCACGGAACGAAAAUACCUAUAAGGAAACAUGAUUGAACUUGCAGUAAAGCCGGAUUCCUGUGAUGGGGAAAUGUUUUAUAAUGAGGUAAUGGAGAAACUGACUUGUUGGGAAACUGACCUUUUCCCGCCACACAAAAUUGAAGACUAUGUUCAGAAGCAUGUUUUUCCUUUAAGGUAAAGACAUGUCUUUCCUGUGUACAAAGAUGAACCCAGCAAUUACUGCCAGGUAUGAAAAACCAGUUGCCACUUAUUGUGACAGUAAUUUUACCUCUUUGAUAUUAUCU